ACGCUCGACACCUACGGGAGGCAGCAGUGGGGAAUAUUGCACAAUGGGGGAAACCCUGAUGCAGCGACGCCGCGUGAGCGAAGAAGUAUUUCGGUAUGUAAAGCUCUAUCAGCAGGGAAGAAACUGACGGUACCUGACUAAGAAGCACCGGCUAAAUACGUGCCGGCAGCCGCGGUAAUCUGAGGCGGCUGGCAAGGC
rnacentral:rRNA from 1 species